rnacentral:rRNA from 1 species
GUGGGGAAUAUUGCACAAUGGGGGAAACCCUGAUGCAGCAACGCCGCGUGGGUGAUGAAGGUCUUCGGAUUGUAAAACCCUGUCUUCUGGGACGAUAAUGACGGUACCAGAGGAGGAAGCCACGGCUAACUACGUGCCAGCAGCCGCGGUAAUACGUAGGUGGCAAGCGUUGUCCGGAAUUACUGGGCGUAAAGGGAGCGUAGGCGGAUGCUUAAGUGAGAUGUGAAAUACCCGGGCUUAACUUGGGUGCUGCAUUUCAAACUGGGCAUCUAGAGUGCAGGAGAGGAAAGUGGAAUUCCUAGUGUAGCGGUGAAAUGCGUAGAGAUUAGGAAGAACACCAGUGGCGAAGGCGACUUUCUGGACUGUAACUGACGCUGAGGCUCGAAAGCGUGGGGAGCAAACAGGAUUAGAAACCCCGGUAGUCC